rnacentral:rRNA from 1 species
GACGAACGCUGGCGGCGUGCUUAACACAUGCAAGUCGAGCGGUAAGGCCCUUUCGGGGGUACACGAGCGGCGAACGGGUGAGUAACACGUGGGUGACCUGCCCUCAGCUCUGGGAUAAGCCCGGGAAACUGGGUCUAAUACUGGAUAUGACUCCAUGACGCAUGUUGUGGGGUGGAAAGCCUUGUGCGGCUGAGGAUGGGCCCGCGGCCUAUCAG